AGCAGCCGCGGUAAUUCCAGCUCCAAUAGCGUAUAUUAAAGUUGUUGCAGUUAAAAAGCCCGUAGUUGAAUUUCGGGGUCAGUAGGUCGGUCGUGCCACUGGUAUGAACUGGUUUUACUGAUUCCUCCCUCUUGAAGAACUGUAAUGCCAUUAAUUUGGUGUUGCAGGGAAUCAGGACUGUUACUUUGAAAAAUUAGAGUGUUUAAAGCAGGCUUUAGCUUGAAUACAUUAGCAUGGAAUAAUGAAAUAGGACGUUUGAUCCUAUUUUGUUGGUUUCUAGGAUUGACGUAAUGAUUAAUAGGGAUAGUUGGGGCAUUAGUAUUCAAUUGUCAGAGGUGAAAUU
rnacentral:rRNA from 1 species